GUAUAUGGCAUUGACCUGGUGAAGAACAAAGAAUGCGCAGCAGCGCUGGUGAAGAGCAAAGCAUAACAUCACAGCGCUGGAAACUUCGUUGUAUCAAGAUCAAUAAAUCCCAUAGAGUUGAGACGCUAGAGUAAUUUGUUUGGCUUGGUGAUCAUAAAAACUGAGACUUUGUCAUCCCAGCUAGUUCACCUCAGUGGUGGGUGUGAGUUGCCGACGACGUGAUUUAGAUUUCGAAAGGCGACAUCUUCGUAUGUCAAGGAGUUCUGAAGCUGAGAGUGCAUCUUCAAUAAUAUAAGCCCAUCUUAAUCACGAGUCUUUUGUGCGCGGCAGCGAACCCGGGACUGAAUAGCUGGAAUAGGCCUUGAACUAAAAUUCACCUCUCGCUGAGAUCAACAAAUUUCGCUGCCCAAAUUUGAUGUCCUGGCUAUUUCACUGCAGGUGCUGCAAACGUCGAUAAUCUAGUCACUGCAUUGCCAAAUUUUCCCCUAUCACGAAGCAAAGCAACUCAGCAACCGUUAUUAUAUAAACCAUAUUUGAUUUACAAGGUUCCCAACUAUAAUUGCUCAUGAACAAGAAUGGAAACAUGAGAUGAGUUAGCUGUUGUACAGACUUUAAGGACAGUUUAGCAAACGAGCUAACAAAGCUAUGUCAAGAACUUAGUUAACCAAAACUUAAAUAUCUCAACAACCUCAUCAUCUUGGUACCUUUCAACAAGAGAACGAUUCAUGCUUGAGUAUAUUCCGCAAUAAUUAGCACCAAAAGCCAUGAAGACUCCCCCCACACAACAACAGGAAUCAAAUACCAGCACGAAGCACCCAUACUUAUACAGAUUUUGCAACCAAACAAAAAGGAAUCGAACUAUAAUAGCUUAUCACAAACUCUCACAUAUGCAUAAGAUGCAUCAAACAUUGUUAUACUCAUACGAGGCAGUAGGACUUAGCUUUUAGAAUGA
rnacentral:lncRNA from 1 species